CGCUUACGUCGCGCGGGAGGCGGAGGCGACGGCGACCUCGGUGGCGGCGGCGGCUACGACGGAGACGGUUGCGCUCGCUUGCUUUCUCGGCGUCAUGGCGGCUGCCGGGGGCAGAUAAGCGGAGGGAGCGGGAGCGCGCGCGCGACGGCGGCGGCGGCGGCGGCGACGACUGGUUACUUAUAGCUCUUGCUGCCCUCGCCCUUGGUGCUUCAAUAAUGAAUUGUUAGCUCCACUCCGCAGGGGAUCGCGCGUUGGUGCUGCGGACCGGGGCUUCCCCUUCCCCUCCGCGUCUGUCCCCUUCCCCCUCCCCCGCACGGACUCUUGCUUACCCCGAGACGCCGGAGCCCUAGGACUGGGCGGCGGAGAUCCCGGGCCUGGGCGCGGGGGAGGCCGUCCACCCGAGUCGGCUCCCUCCGCCCCGCCAAGCCCGCCGGUGAAUCAAAGGAGAGUCCCAGAAAACCUGUGACUGUUGAAGAAAAUUCAUCUGUGAAUUUUUAUAUUCAAGGAGUCAGUAUUUAUAUUCAUCUUUUAAACUGGGAAGAUUUAUAUUUUACUUUAAAACUUCUUGAUAAUAAUUUACAAUGAAUGGACACAGUGAUGAAGAAAGUGUUAGAAACAGUAGUGGAGAAUCAAGCCAGUCGGAUGAUGAUUCUGGGUCAGCUUCAGGCUCUGGAUCUGGUUCGAGUUCUGGAAGCAGUAGUGAUGGAAGCAGUAGCCAGUCAGGUAGCAGUGACUCUGACUCCGGAUCUGAAUCAGGCAGUCAGUCAGAGUCUGAGUCAGACACUUCCCGAGAAAACAAAGUUCAAGCAAAACCACCGAAAGUUGAUGGAGCUGAGUUUUGGAAAUCUAGUCCUAGUAUUCUGGCCGUUCAGAGAUCUGCAAUCCUCAAGAAGCAGCAACAGCAGCAGCAGCAACAACAACAUCAAGCCUCAUCUAAUAGCGGAUCAGAAGAGGAUUCCUCUAGCAGUGAAGAUUCCGAUGACUCAUCAAGUGAGGUCAAAAGGAAAAAGCAUAAAGAUGAAGAUUGGCAAAUGUCUGGGUCAGGAUCUCCAUCUCAGUCUGGUUCAGAUUCAGAAUCUG
rnacentral:lncRNA from 1 species